UUUUUUUUUUCUAGAGGGGAACGAAAUUAAGUGACUUUGUUUCAUAAGUCCAGAGGGUGAAAAACAACAGCAACAGAAGUAAACAAAGAAGUGUUUGACCAAAUUAGAAUCAGAAACUAACCCAUAUCCCCGAGCAUGUACCAACAACCAUAACCGGCUUUGGAAACUCAACACUGACAGCACCCUCUGGCCUAAAGAUGACACCAGCAAAUGCCUCUUCCUGACUGAACCUGGAAAUAAUGAUCUUUCCUCCGGCUUUUAAGUGUUGCCUUGCAAUUCCAACGAUCUUAACAAGAAGUUCAAUUUCGAGAACCCGACACGACAGAUGCCGAGUGAGCCUACGUUGCACACGUUCUUUAAACUCAAGGCGAAGAAUGACGGGUUCACCUCUAGUGAUUGGCAAGGGCAGAAUCUGUGCUUGGCCCACAGACCGAUUGGAGUCCACGACCAUUCGCCUGUGGUCGUCCUAGUCCACCAAAUGUGUACUGGUGUAUCAGUGAGGUCGUUCCAAUCUCUGAGUACGGAUAGUUUAAGUUUGAGCCAGUUUCAGAGUAAACCAAAGUUGUGCAACGGAUCAUGCAAUCGAAGAAAUCUGAACGAUAUGAUGCGAAAGGGAAUAAAAAUCAUUUUUGUGACUAGAAAGCUGCAUGACAGCUUCAUAAAAAUAAAGAUUAUGCGCCGGUGAAUAGCUUGUUCAUUUUUCUGUGUGGCAGAAUGCAAAUAGCUCUUAACAGCAAUUCUAGUCACUCUCAAGAAGACGUGCACUGAUGUAACAAACAAACUUUUACCAUCCAGUGCUUCUUUGGUUGCCUAUCGUUGAUUCAUUAAGAAGUGCCAUAUUUCCAAAUCAUGCAUAAAUAAAGGAUCUAUAUUUCCAGUAA